GGGAGCGCAACUGACGCUGAAGCUCGAAAGUGCGGGUAUCGAACAGGAUUAGAUACCCUGGUAGUCCGCACGGUAAACGAUGGAUGCCCGCUUUUCGGUCAUAGGNCCGUGAGGNCAAGUGAAAACAUUAAGCAUCCCACCUGGGGAGUACGCCGGCAACGGUGAAACUCAAAGGAAUUGACGGGGGCCCGCACAAGCGGAGGAACAUGUGGUUUAAUUCGAUGAUACGCGAGGAACCUUACCCGGGCUUGAAUUGCAGAUGAAGGAUCCAGAGAUGGUGACGCCCUUCGGGGCAUCUGUGAAGGUGCUGCAUGGUUGUCGUCAGCUCGUGCCGUGAGGUGUCGGCUCAAGUGCCAUAACGAGCGCAACCCCUCUCUUCAGUUGCCAUCAGGUAAAGCUGGGCACUCUGGAGACACUGCCACCGCAAGGUGUGAGGAAGGUGGGGAUGACGUCAAAUCAGCACGGCCCUUACGUCCGGGGCUACACACGUGUUACAAUGGGGGGUACAGCAAGCCGGCUGCCCGCAAGGUCAGUCCAAUCAAGAAAGCCCUCCUCAGUUCGGACUGGGGUCUGCAACCCGACCCCACGAAGCUGGAUUCGCUAGUAAUCGCGCAUCAGCCAUGGCGCGGUGAAUACGUUCCCGGGCCUUGUACACACCGCCCGUCAAGCCAUGAAAGCCGGGGGUGCCUGAAGUCCGUGACCGCAAGGAUCGGCCUAGGGCAAAACUGGUAAUUGGGGCUAAGUCGUAACAAGGUAGCCG
rnacentral:rRNA from 1 species